UUCUAAUCUAAUCUUUCACAAUCUAAUUGUAACUGCGGUGAUUCUGAGGUAAUUCUGAGAGAACUGAGAGGGAAUCCUGAGGCAAUUCUGAGAGAACUGAGAGGGAAUCCUGAGGUAAUUCUGAGAGAACUGAGAGGGAAUCCUGAGGUAAUUCUGAGAGAACUGAGAGGGAAUCCUGAGGUAAUUCUGAGAGAACUGAGAAGGAAUCCUGAGGUAAUUCUGAGAGAACUGAGAGGGAAUCCUGAGGUAAUUCUGAGAGAACUGAGGGAAUCCUGAGGUAAUUCUGAGAGAACUGAGAAGGAAUCCUGAGGUAAUUCUGAGAGAACUGAGAGGGAAUCCUGAGGUAAUUCAAGGAAUCCUGAGGUAAUUCUGAGAGAACUGAGAGGGAAUCCUGAGGUAAUUCUGAGAUAACUGAGAGGGAAUCCUGAGGUAAUUCUGAGAGAACUGAGAGGAAAUCCUGAGGUAAUUUUGAGAGAACUGAGAGGGAAUCCUGAGGUAAUUCUGAGGUACAAACCUCUACAGUUAACAUAAGAUCAAGAUGAUGUCAUACAGUAAUGGAACGGUGAAAUAAUUCUGGGGCAGUUCCUACCAGGGUACCAUGGGGUAAUACAUACCAGGCAUGUUGAGAGUGGUGUACAUCUCCCUGUUCUUGUUGUUCUUGUCCCUCUUAAAUUUGGGAACUAGCCGAAAUUUAGCACUUCUACUACGCUUGGAAAAAUCUAAAGAAUGUCCCUACACACACACACACACACACACACACACACACACACACACACACACACACA